GUUAGCAGGGGAGGGGGAGAGCGUUUUCGAGAAACAAGAGAGAAGACCAGAGGGAGCGAAACUCACCCAACCUCGUUCUUCUUCUUCUUCAAUUAUUUUUCUCUCUUUUUCUCUUUAGAACCAAAACCCCUUUUUAUGCCAGUUCUUCUUCUUCUUCUUCAAUUUUGUUUUUCCUCUUUUUCGGACCAAACCCUAGAACCGUGAGCAAUGAGGAUUGGAGGCUGCCAAGGGUAGAUUUAUUGCACGAAUUGGUGAGUUGAGAGAUAGCCGUGAGGACUUCGUAUCAAGUUCAAAUACAACGCCAUAGCAGUUGUAACUGCACCUCUGUCUCCAGCCACCAUCGUGGAGCACCCGUCACCAGCCACCACUGUGACGCCAUAAAACCAAUGGUCACCAUCCAGUCUCUCUCUUGGUAAUUGCUGAAUGGAAACUAGAAAACUACUAUCCCUUUUGAGAACUUGUAAGAAUUCGAAGUCACUGAAGCAAGGCAAGCUCAUUCAUCAGAAAGCUGUAACAUUGGGAUUGCAAAAUGAUAUAUAUUUAUGCAAGAAUUUGAUUAACUUAUAUCUUUCUUUCCAUUUGUAUGAUCAUGCAAAGUGCGUUCUUGAUACUAUGAAAAACCCAUGUGAGAUAUCCUUGUGGAAUGGCCUGAUAGCUGGUUACACUAAGAAUUACAUGUAUGUGGAAGCCCUAUAGCUUUUUGAGAAGUUGUUACAUUACCCUUACCUGAAACCUGAUAGUUAUACUUACCCUAGUGUUAUUAAGGUUUGUGGGGGGUUGUGUAGGUUUCUGUUGGGAAAAAUGAUCCAUACAUGCUUGAUAAAAACUGGUUUAAUGAUGGACAUUGUUGUUGGAAGCUCUCUUGUGGGUAUGUAUGCAAAAUGCAAUGCAUUUGAGAAAGCCAUUUGGCUGUUCAAGGAAAUGCCUGAGAAGGACGUGGCAUGCUGGAAUACCGUAAUUUCUUGUUAUUACCAAAGUGGAAACUUCAAAGAAGC